CUCCUGUCUCAGUUCAGCAGUCUGACUGCAUUUAUAAUUUCCUCAAUGUGUCACACUGACAGAAUCUCCUGCCACCAUGACUGCUCUGGUGCUGCUCUCUGUCUUCAUAGUCUUUAUUCAGGAUUCAAGUUGUCAGAUUUCUGUGAAUCAACCAUCAGCAUCAAAGUCAGUUUCCCCUGGAGGGAGCGUCACCUUCACUUGUACUACUGGGAGUAGUGUGAGUGGUUGGAUGGCAUGGUACCAGCAGAAACCUGGAGAAACUCCUAAACUUCUGAUCCAUAGUACGAGCACUCACUAUGGUGACACCCCGAGUCGCUUCACUGGCAGCGGGUCAGGAACUUCAUACAGUAUGACUAUCAAUGGAGUUCAGCCUGAAGACGCUGGUUACUACUACUGUCAGCAGCAUGCUAGCUACCCUCUCACACAGUGAUUGAGACUUGUACAAAAACCUCACUAAG